AGCGAAACAUAUAUCAGAAUAAAACGAACAAGAUAGAGAUU
rnacentral:misc_RNA from 1 species